rnacentral:lncRNA from 1 species
AUUAUGGAUCAUGAUGCCACAAAGAUCAUCGACAAUAUGUAGUCAAUUAAGGUGGUAAGUAAUCCACUUGACUAAUAACUCAACAAGUAGAGUUAUAUGAACGUUUCGAGAAACGCUCCAUGAGUGCAUUCCACAGUACUUUGUGGUCAUUACUUUUUGCAUAGAUUGCCAUUGAAGGCUUUUGUUGAUGUGGCGCGUCAAAGACUUUGAGCGCAUGAGAUGUGAAAUCUCGGCAUUUAGGCUUGUUAGCCUGGGGGUCAAAACAUUUGGUUUAAUCCUUUCCAAUGAAAGGUUCCACAGAUACCAAGUGAAGAUCCGCCUUAGGCAUCUACUACGUCAAAACUCAAAGGAGCAGAAUAUUACAUUGCUCUUGCAUACAAAACCAAGCUGUUAUGAGACUCGAUAGAGGUCACAAACGAUGCUUUUAAUGGUUUGUCCUUCGGAUUGAUCAUACACAAUCCGGAAAAGCCGCGAAUUGAUCAAACACAAUUCGGAAAAAGGCCUCGGAUUGAUCAAACACAAUCCGGUGAAAGGUCGGGGUUGAUCAAACACAACCCGGACAAAGAAACAAGAGUGAUCAAACACACUCUUGACCCGCGAAUAAAAUUUCGGGAUUUGGGUACCUGCACGCACAAAAUCCCAAGCAUAGAAUGGAGAUGGAGAAGGGAGGAAAUGAUUUUAUCCUCCCCGAGUUAUUCAACUUGGAAAAGUUUAAGGUUUCAAAAAACAUACAUUUCUAGAGGCUGCCGAGAGGAGAAAUAACGUUUCGCCUACUUAUACUUCGAAUUUGGGGUUGAAAAUUUGAUAGGAGGAGCAGCUCUGGAUGGGGAAGCUGCUGUCAAAAUUUCAGGUUGAUCGGAGCAAGGGAAGGUGGUGAACCGGUGGUCGGUAGCGGGGGCGGUCUGGAAUCUUCCGGCGGCCGUUUUGGAGACUUUCCGGCCGGUUCUCAGGGUGAGACCGGCGGCGUUGGAUCCGGGACGGAGAGAGCUUUCUGGGGAUAUAAAAUUCCGGUGGAGAACAGUUGGAAUUUUGGUCGGAAAUCUGGAAAAACAAGGCUGCCCGAUUUUAGGGUUUUGGUUUUUAGGGUUUAGAAAAAAAAAUGGUGGGCUAUUGGUUCUAAGGUUAGAACAAAGUGCAUGAUAACGUGAUGAAGGAUUAAUGGUAGAGACAAAGAGAUAGCAAGAGAAUCAUCAUCUUAUUCAUUGAUAGGAGCCCUUUAUAUAGAGAAUUACACAAUACCAAUAUGGUAAGGAUAUGAAUACAUAGAUCUAGUCUAACUACAUAUCCUAUUGGCAUAAGGCC